rnacentral:rRNA from 1 species
GACGAACGCUGGCGGCGUGCUUAACACAUGCAAGUCGAACGGUGAAGCGCCUUCCUUUUUGGAGGGUGUGGAUGAGUGGCGAACGGGUGAGUAACACGUGAGUAACCUGCCCCCUUCUUCUGGAUAACCGCAUGAAAGUGUGGCUAAUACGGGAUAUUCUGGGCCUGUCGCAUGAUGGGUCAGGGAAAGAAUUUGUUUCGGUGGGGGAUGGGCCCGCGGCCUAUCAGCUUGUUGGUGGGGUGAUGGCCUACCAAGGCGGUGACGGGUAGCCGGCCUGGGGGGUUGGACGGUCACACUGGGACUGAGACACGGCCCAGACUCCUACGGGAGGCAGCAGUGGUGAUUAGUGCACGAUGGGCGCAAGCCUGAUGCAGCGACGCCGCGUGAGGGAUGGAGUCCUUCGGGUUGUGAACCUCUUUCGCCAGUGAAGCAGGCCUGCCUCGUUUGUGGGUGGGUUGACGGUAGCUGGAUAAGAAGCGCCGGCUAACUACGUG